GCAGCUGAUGGAGACCAGGUCACACUCAUCCCAUCUUCCAGCAGAAAUCCAAAAUGGACGAGAUGAAUUACAGUGACUCCAAGGUGCCUCUUUCCCUCCAUGGCUUGCUAAGGUGUCUGCUAGCUACGCACAAGGCUGGAGCUCUUCUCCACUUGAAUUCAAUGGCUCAUAAUGGAUCCCCACCACUACGUACUCUUGGUCUUCAGCCAAAGGAAAAAAAACCAAAAUCCUUUCCUACCCAGGAAUUGUCAGCUUGCUUUGUUAUCUGCCCAUCUUUGCCUUCUUCCAGAAAACCAAAACUUUCAGCUGCACGUUGCAGAGAAGGCAGCUCACAACACUAUUUUUUAAUGUCUUUCUCAAUCCUUCCGAAUAAACUCCCAGCUGCUCCCCCCUUCAAAUCAUUUCUUCUUCAGACUCAUGGGUUCUUUGAAGUCUGUGCUGACCUGUGUAACUCCAUGUGAUGCUCCAUCUGUUGUUGACUUCUAUGUGUUUAUUUAUUAAGGGGAAAACUGAAAACAUUACUUCAAAAUCUGGCCAGUGUCACUGUCAUUCCUCAAAAACAAGGUCUGCUGUGGAUUCAGCUCUGAUUUUGAUAUGCUCAAGCUUGCUCUGGUUCAUCCCCAAGGAUGCUGACUGAAGGAGGACACAUGAAAUGCUUCCUGUGCAGUGCUUCAUCUUGCAUGGGUCCACCUCAGUCCAUGGGGAACCAAGGAUGUGAACGAGGAAUGGACAACAAUGAUCUGGAGUGCACAGCCACCAGCAGUGAAGUUAUGGCUCUUUAGCUCAGAUGGGUCUCCCAAGCAUCUGUUCUGUACCUCCUGCUCCACCAUGGGGUGCAAAGUACAUCCCAUUAUGGGUAUCAUAGUGGUCACCUUCUCUAAGGUCAGCCACAGCAGAAGCAGCUCUCCAGAACAGAUACUAACCCACUGGUUUGAGCUUGGACCAGUACACAUGAACCUUUCUUAAUGGG